rnacentral:pre_miRNA from 1 species
UCUUCAUUUCACGUGCUCUCUCGCCGGUUAGAAAGGCGAGAGAGUACGCGAAAUAAGGAGA